GUACCCUAGGGGAGUUCGAGGUAUCCAAUUCUAUAGGGAGAGCUUAGCCAAACAUACCUUAAUCAAUCCUCAUCAGGGUUCCUACUAGGUUCCACUACUUGUAAUACCUCAAUCUAAAUCACAAAAAUUUAAUUAAACCAACAUUAGUGAGAGUUUCUAUAUUUUAAGUAUUUUAGGCAUUUUAUCAAACACCUAAGGGCAUAGCCUUUUACCACAUCUAGUAAUGGUGCUUUCUCAUCCUUCACAUCUUUUUCAUAACUACGUUCAUAUCCAUAGCCACCAUUAGGUAGUAUGAGACCUUCAACAAUACACGUAUGGCCACCCAUACUACACCCAACCAACAAUUACAUCAAAUAAUACUUUUUCCCAACUCUCCACAAUACUCAAUCUCAGGUUGGGAACUUAUGGCUUUCAAUCACCAUCCCAUAAGCUCCAAUCCUCAAAUUCUACCUACAAUUAAAUCAUUCGAAAAUGAAUAAGAGCUUGGAAUGAAGCCUUACCUUGAUAGAAGAAGACCUUGUAAAUUUCUCCCCUCAAAUCUCCAAGAACUGGGCAAGGAAUUGAAGUGUUGAAGUGUGGAGCUCCUCCUCUCUCUCUAAGAUGGUUCUCUCUCUCAAAAUGAUCACAUUUCUCUUUCUAAAACAACUUCUAUGCCUUUUAUUAGAAAAAGAGUCGGGUAAGAGAUUUUUCAAAAACCCUCUUCGAAGUAUAUAUGCGGUCGCGAAAUGGACCGCAUAUCGGUUUUGCAGUCCGCGAAAGGGAGGUCCUCCAAAUUACCAAAAUGAUCUGGUCGGAUAUGCGGUGAUUCUGUGAUUGAGGACUUUGGAGCGCAUCUUGGUGGAUUUGAAUAUUUUGUCAUCUCGAGGCAAGUGAAAACUUUUACUAUUAGGUUAUUUGCUUUUCAUAAAAAGCAACUUAUUUAUGUUGUAUGUAUGCUUUUUAACUAUCUAGUUUGUGUGUGCAAGCAUAAGCUAGAUUAGUUAAUUUCAGAGUAUCUGACAUACACUACAAGGGUUGUACUAUGUGUAUUUAUACUUUUAUGAUACUUUUAGCAAUUUAUGGUUGCGAUAUUUGUUUA